rnacentral:rRNA from 1 species
UGACAGUACUCCUACGGGGAGGCAGCAGUGGGGGAAUAUUGCACAAUGGGCGCAAGCCUGAUGCAGCCAUGCCGCGUGUAUGAAGAAGGCCUUCGGGUUGUAAAGUACUUUCAGCAGUGAGGAAGGUAUCGUAGUUAAUAGCUGCGGUAUUUGACGUUAGCUGCAGAAGAAGCACCGGCUAACUCCGUGCCAGCAGCCGCGGUAAUACGGAGGGUGCGAGCGUUAAUCGGAAUUACUGGGCGUAAAGCGCAUGCAGGUGGUUUGUUAAGUCAGAUGUGAAAGACCCGGGGCUCAACCUCGGAAUUGCAUUUGAAACUGGCAGACUAGAGUACUGUAGAGGGGGGUAGGAAUUUCAGGUGUAGCGGUGAAAUGCGUAGAGAUCUGAAGGAAUACCGGUGGCGAAGGCGGCCCCCUGGACAGAUACUGACACUCAGAUGCGAAAGCGUGGGGAGCAAACAGGAUUAGAUACCCUGGUAG